rnacentral:misc_RNA from 1 species
GGAAGUAAAAUCGUAACAAGGUUUCCGUAGGUGAACCUGCGGAAGGAUCAUUAUUGUAUAACCGAGGUGCGAGGGCUGUCGCUGACCCGAAAGGUCGUGCACGCCCGAGUGCCCUCACACACAUCCAUCUCACCCCUAUGUGCACCACCGCGUGGGUCCCCCUUUGGCUUGUUCGGAGGGGGGCUUACGUUUUCACACAAACUUUGUAUGCAGUGUAGAAUGUAUUUUUGUUUUUGCGAUCACGCAAUCAAUACAACUUUCAACAACGGAUCUCUUGGCUCUC